rnacentral:rRNA from 1 species
GUCCACGCCGUAAACGAUGAAUGCUAGCCGUUGGCGGGCUUGCCCGUCAGUGGCGCAGCUAACGCUUUAAGCAUUCCGCCUGGGGAGUACGGUCGCAAGAUUAAAACUCAAAGGAAUUGACGGGGGCCCGCACAAGCGGUGGAGCAUGUGGUUCAAUUCGAAGCAACGCGCAGAACCUUACCAGCCCUUGACAUCCCGGUCGCGGGUUCCAGAGAUGGGACCCUUCAGUUCGGCUGGACCGGAGACAGGUGCUGCAUGGCUGUCGU